GUCUAUUUGAAGAUAUAAAAAGUCUAGCCUGCCCACUGAUAAUUUUUGAAGGGCCGCGGUAAUUUGACCGUGCAAAGGUAGCAUAAUCGUUAGUUUUUUAAUUGGAAUCUUGUAUGAAUGGUUGAACAAAAGAAUAACUGUCUCUGCGCUUUUUUUGAAUUUAACUUUUAAGUGAAAAGGCUUAAAUACUUUAAAAAGACGAUAAGACCCUGUAAAGCUUCGAUAAAUUUUUGUUAUUCAAUUAAAUUUUAUAUUGUAUAAAAAUUUAGUGCAAUAAGUUUAUUUUGUUGGGGCGACAAUGAUAUAAUGUUUGUUAACUGUUUUUCUAGAAGACAUAAUUGUUGAUUAAUAAUUAAAUUUAUAUAAAUGAUCCUUUAUAGAGAUUAAAAGUUUAAGUUACUUCAGGGAUAACAGCGUUAUUUUUCUUGAGAGUUCAUAUCGAAAGAAAAGUUUGCGACCUCGAUGUUGAAUUAAAUUUUCUUUAUAAUUGCAGAAGUUAUAAAAGAAGGUCUGUUCGACCUUUAAAUUUUUACAUGAUUUGAGUUCAGACCGGCGUGAG
rnacentral:rRNA from 1 species